UGGGGAAUAUUGCACAAUGGGCGGAAGCCUGAUGCAGCGACGCCGCGUGGGGGAUGACGGCCUUCGGGUUGUAAACCUCUUUCAGUGCAGAACAAGGCUCUUUGUGGGUUGAGGGUAUGCGCAGAAGAAGCGCCGGCUAACUACGUGCCAGCAGCCGCGGUAAUACGUAGGGCGCGAGCGUUGUCCGGAUUUAUUGGGCGUAAAGAGCUCGUAGGCGGUUUGUCGCGUCUGCUGUGAAAUCCUCUGGCUUAACUGGGGGCGUGCAGUGGGUACGGGCAGACUGGAGUGCGGUAGGGGAGACUGGAAUUCCUGGUGUAGCGGUGGAAUGCGCAGAUAUCAGGAGGAACACCGAUGGCGAAGGCGCCUUUCUGGACUGUGUCUGACGCUGAGAUGCGAAAGCCAGGGUAGCGAACGGG
rnacentral:rRNA from 1 species